rnacentral:rRNA from 1 species
UACGGGGGGGGCAAGCGUUGUUCGGAAUUACUGGGCGUAAAGCGUGCGUAGACGGUUAUGUAAGUCGGGUGUGAAAGCCCCGGGCUCAACCUGGGAAGGCCAUUCGAGACUGCAUAGCUAGGGUGCGGAAGAGGGAAGCGGAAUUUCAGGUGUAGCGGUGAAAUGCGUAGAUAUCUGAAGGAACACCAGUGGCGAAAGCGGCUUCCUGGUCCAGCACCGACGUUCAGGCACGAAAGCGUGGGGAGCAAACAGG